ensembl:miRNA
GCCUUGUGUUAAUGUGAUGACCCCUAUGUAUUUGCAUGUGUGUAUAUUUAUGUGUGCAUGAAAAUGUAUAUGUAUGAAUAUACAUAUACAUACAUAUCCACACAAACAUGCACACACACACA